AGGGGCAGCAUAAAGGUAGCAAUACUUUGGUGGCGACCGGCGCACGGGUGAGUAACACGUAUGCAACCUACCUGUAAGAGGGGAAUAACCCGGAGAAAUUCGGACUAAUACCGCAUAAUACCGCUGAACUGCAUGGUUUAGUGGUUAAACAUUUAUGGCUUACAGAUGGGCAUGCGUAUGAUUAGCUAGUUGGUGAGGUAACGGCUCACCAAGGCAACGAUCAUUAGGGGUUCUGAGAGGAAGGUCCCCCACACUGGUACUGAGACACGGACCAGACUCCUACGGGAGGCAGCAGUGGGGAAUUUUUGACAAUGGGGGCAACCCUGAUCCAGCCAUGCCGCGUGAGUGAAGAAGGCCUUCGGGUUGUAAAGCUCUUUCAGCCGGGAAGAAAUCACAUGGGUUAAUACCCUGUGUGGAUGACGGUACCGGAAUAAGAAGCACCGGCUAACUACGUGCCAGCAGCCGCGGUAAUACGUAGGGUGCGAGCGUUAAUCGGAAUUACUGGGCGUAAAGCGUGCGCAGGCGGUUUGUUAAGAUAGGCGUGAAAUCCCCGGGCUCAACCUGGGAACUGCGUUUAUGGCUGGCAGGCUAGAGUAUGGCAGAGGGGGGUGGAAUUCCACGUGUAGCAGUGAAAUGCGUAGAGAUGUGGAGGAACACCGAUGGCGAAGGCAGCCCCCUGGGCCAAUACUGACGCUCAUGCACGAAAGCGUGGGUAGCAAACAGGAUUAGAUACCCUGGUAGUCCACGCCCUAAACGAUGUCAACUAGGUGUUGGGUGGGUAAAACCAUUUAGUACCGGAGCUAGCGCGUGAAGUUGACC
rnacentral:rRNA from 1 species